rnacentral:rRNA from 1 species
GAUGAACGCUAGCUACAGGCUUAACACAUGCAAGUCGAGGGGCAGCAUUUUAGUUUGCUUGCAAACUGAAGAUGGCGACCGGCGCACGGGUGAGUAACACGUAUCCAACCUGCCGAUAACUCCGGGAUAGCCUUUCGAAAGAAAGAUUAAUACCGGAUGGCAUACGAACAUCGCAUGAUAUUUUUAUUAAAGAAUUUCGGUUAUCGAUGGGGAUGCGUUCCAUUAGUUUGUUGGCGGGGUAACGGCCCACCAAGACUACGAUGGAUAGGGGUUCUGAGAGGAAGGUCCCCCACAUUGGAACUGAGACACGGUCCAAACUCCUACGGGAGGCAGCAGUGAGGAAUAUUGGUCAAUGGGCGAGAGCCUGAACCAGCCAAGUAGCGUGAAGGAUGAAGGCUCUAUGGGUCGUAAACUUCUUUUAUAUGGGAAUAAAGUUUUUCACGUGUGGAAUUUUGUAUGUACCAUAUGAAUAAGGAUCGGGUAACUCCGUGCCAGCAGGCGCGGUGAGGGGAGGAUCCGAGCGUUAUCCGGAUUUUUGUGCGGACAGGGGGGUGGUUUAUAUAAAGAAGAUGUUUUAGGCACGGAAAAAAGAGAAUUAUGAGGAGUCUUAGUAAUGAGGGAGGGGGGUUUCGGGGUC